GGUCCCGUAGCGCAGCGGCAGACGCGCCCGCAUGCCAUGCGGGAGGACGUCGGUUCGAAUCCGGCCGGGGCCA
rnacentral:tRNA from 1 species